GAAGAACAUCACGCUCAUUCUCGUAGGCAGGCGCACACGCGAGGCGGUUUAACGACCGUCCGGCGAAUGCCACGUGUGCGCGAAAGACAGGCCCCUCGAAGGGCCUUUUUUAUUGCCUGAA
rnacentral:sRNA from 1 species